CGGUGGAAGAUAAUCCAAAAGGGAUUCCUUCAGUAAUGGCGAAUGAACGGGGAAAAGCUCAGCAAAGAAAUCGAGGACUCUGGCCUUGAGUUGUGGACUUGAGAGGUAUCGCCCAAUGGUGGCACAGGUGGGGGCCUCUUGGAAAAGGGCACCACAGAGGGUGUGAGUCCUGUUUGCCAUCUGUAGUCCGCCGUGUACGGCAUGCCUCCUCAGAGUCACGUUCCUUGGAAUUGGAGCGCGAAGGUGGUGGUGGCUUUCAUCUCAAGCUAAGUAUGGGUUCGAGACCGAUAGCAAACAAGUACCAUGAGGGAAAAUUGAAAAGAGCUUUGGAAAGAGAGUUAAAAGUGCCCGAACUUGCUGAUAGGGAAGCGAAGGGAGCUGACGUUGCUUGGUAACAUCUUCUACGCAAGACUAGGAUGGGUUCUGAUUGCAAUGUGUGUAGUGUUUCUUGCCGUGCGUGUCGAUGCCAAGCAAUGAGUGGGGAGAGCUCCAGGGACGUGAUUGUUUCUGUCUCCGGGUAGACGAAGGUGCCUGGUUGCAUCCAUUCGUGGGCUGAAAAAUUGGUGGCUGGUCGCAGCACUCCUGCCGCUCACGUGC
rnacentral:rRNA from 1 species